rnacentral:rRNA from 1 species
GACGUAGGGUCCAAGCGUUGUUCGGAUUCAUUGGGCGUAAAGGGUGCGUAGGCGGCGCGGUAAGUCGGGUGUGAAAUCUCGGAGCUUAACUCCGAAACUGCAUUCGAUACUGCCGUGCUUGAGGACUGGAGAGGAGACUGGAAUUUACGGUGUAGCGGUGAAAUGCGUAGAUAUCGUAAGGAAGACCAGUGGCGAAGGCGGGUCUCUGGACAGUUCCUGACGCUGAGGCACGAAGGUCAGGGGAGCAAACGGG